rnacentral:rRNA from 1 species
GGAGUCUGGGCCGUGUCUCAGUCCCAAUGUGGCCGUUCAACCUCUCAGUCCGGCUACCGAUCGUCGCCUUGGUGGGCCGUUACCCCGCCAACAAGCUAAUCGGACGCGAGUCCAUCUCUAAGCGAUAAAUCUUUGAUAUCAAAGUCAUGCGGCUUCAAUAUAUUAUGCGGUAUUAGCGAUCUUUUCAGAACGUUAUUCCCCUCUUAGAGGCAGGUUACUCACGCGUUACUCACCCGUCCGCCACUAAACUUUCAUCGGCUUUGUACGAAUCUCCGCCAAAUCAGUCCCGUUCGACUUGCAUGUGUUAGGCACGCCGCCAGCGUUCAUC